ensembl:lncRNA
AGGGAAGGACAGCACCCAAGAAAAGAGAGACUCCAGAGAGCAGAGAGGAGGGAUCCCCCAGCCCCCCUAACCCUGGUAAAUAGGUUUUUAAAUCUUUUAAUGACCUCUCAACGACUAUAUUCAUCACUUCUCGUUGAAAUCUCCACAUUUAAAUGACCUUUCACUGAUUGAAUCAUCCCAUUCUCAAUAUGGAAAGCCGCAGACGAGGAGUAUACACUAUCCUAUUCAUGACUGGGAUAAUGUGCAUCCUUGUGAUACUUGAAAUUGCUACAACCAACAAACAUUUGUGGAUUUCCAAGUUGCGGCCCCGGUUCCAGCUUGAGGCCUUGCCUCCGUUCGCGUGUAAUAGAUGUGUUACAGAGGAUGAUGAUCCAUGGUUUACGCUUCAACGCGUCUCUCAAUCCGUUUUAGACGCAGAACAACACUCUCUCAGAGCGUGAUUUCAGAUGGUGGAAGAACUUGCAAUCUGGCAAUAAGGCCUUUCUCAGCUAGAGUGGCCGAGCUGAAGCUUCAUGGACUCCAGCCCUGAUCGCUGCAGGACCUGUGCUGUGGUUGGGAAUUCAGUUAAUUUGCUGGGGUCUCACUAUGGACCCCUCAUUGACCUUCAUGACGUCAUCAUGAGGUUCAAUACAGCUCGUACUGUGGGCUAUGAAGGGAUGUGGGGAACAAAACGACUCUCCACAUCAUGUACCCAGAGAGCGCUGUGGAUUUGGAUGACCACACACAUCUCAUAUUAUUUCCCUUCAAAAUAAGGGACCUUGAGUGGCUAGUCAGCGCUUUCACCACAAAAUCUGUGAAAAUGUAAGUCAACACAAUAUACAAUAAACAAAACAACUUGUGUCUAAAUUACUUAAGAAGUGCUUAGCAAUGUCUGAAUCUCAGAAACGACGAUCACUUCAAGUUUAAUCGACUUUAUAAGUCUUUGUUUAGGGACCGUCCAAUUCCAGCCUCAUUUUGACCAUUUCCAUUAGCAGAAAAAAAUUAUGGGAAGCAAAGCAAUUUACUCUCAAGGAAAUGCAAAGAAUUAUUAUUUUUUACUUUCUAAACAUUUUCUUUAGAUCACAUGAAGGCUGAACCACACCGAUACACUAUCAUUUAUGGUUUUCAUUAUUGCUGCCUGAUUCUAGGUCUAUGUUUUUCCACAAAAAUGUACACAAUAUUUCAACCAACCAUUUGUACCAACUCCAAUGUAAAUGUUUUUGUCUUUUUCACAGGACAAACAAAGGGUUGAAAUCAACAGUCAAAGCAAAUCAGGGUUUGGUGGGUUUUAAGUGAUGGUCAUGGUUUGCCAGAUACCACAUAGUGGUGACCUUUUACAAAUGUUUUCUAGUUCUGAAAGGUACAAUAUGUCAAUGUAACACACACUUGUCCUUUCCAUUUGGGAAGACGCAGAGGCGAACUGUCCGCCGCGCCCCCCUUUCCCCUUCUCACACAGCUUCUGUGCACGGCACCUCGUCAGCAAUUUCGUCCUUGAACUGCUUUAAACACUCAGUUUACUUGCUAAAUUUGAUUAAACAAUUAAAUACAAUACUAAUAUAAAGUAAAAAUAAGUGUUAUCUAGCGAUCUGUUUUCUGUAUUAUGUUAUUUCGUCUUUGGCAACAUGAGCGCGAAUGUUUUUGAAAGCCCGCUUUAAACACUCAGUUUACUAGCUAAAUUUGAUUAAACAAUUAAAUACAGUACAAAUAUAAAGUAAAAACAAGUGUUAUCUAGCGAUCCGUUAUCUGUAUUAGCCUAUGUAAUUUCGUCUUUGGCAACAUGAGUGCGAAUGUUUUUUGAAACCAGCCCGGCAACCAGUCCCGGUUCUACGGGGGUGCAUAAGCAUGCAUUGCACCCCCAAAAAAAAUGUUUGCACCCUCAAUUGAAAAAAAAUUAAAAAGAUUAUUUUUUUUAUAAAUAUGAUAAAAA